CACGUAGGCGGAUCAGUCAGUCAGGGGUGAAAUCCCGGGGCUCAACCCCGGAACUGCCUUUGAUACUGCUGGUCUUGAGGUCGAGAGAGGUGAGUGGAAUUCCGAGUGUAGAGGUGAAAUUCGUAGAUAUUCGGAGGAACACCAGUGGCGAAGGCGGCUCACUGGCUCGAUACUGACGCUGAGGUGCGAAAGCGUGGGAGCAAACA
rnacentral:rRNA from 1 species